AGCGGUUCAGCCCGACCCCCCGGGGCUGAACCUCGACGACCCCCGUCCCUCCCCCCUGGCGGGGGUCGUCCACU
rfam:Actinophytocola sp. 11-183 contig36, whole genome shotgun sequence.